rnacentral:rRNA from 1 species
UACGUAGGGUGCGAGCGUUAAUCGGAAUUACUGGGCGUAAAGCGUGCGCAGGCGGUUUUGUAAGACAGCUGUGAAAUCCCCGGGCUUAACCUGGGAACUGCGGUUGUGACCGCAAGACUGGAGUGUGGCAGAGGGGGGUGGAAUUCCACGUGUAGCAGUGAAAUGCGUAGAGAUGUGGAGGAACACCGAUGGCGAAGGCAGCCCCCUGGGUUAACACUGACGCUCAUGCACGAAAGCGUGGGGAGCAAACAGG